rnacentral:rRNA from 1 species
AUUGAACGCUGGCGGCAGGCCUAACACAUGCAAGUCGAGCGGAUGAAGGGAGCUUGCUCCUGGAUUCAGCGGCGGACGGGUGAGUAAUGCCUAGGAAUCUGCCUGGUAGUGGGGGAUAACGUCCGGAAACGGGCGCUAAUACCGCAUACGUCCUGAGGGAGAAAGUGGGGGAUCUUCGGACCUCACGCUAUCAGAUGAGCCUAGGUCGGAUUAGCUAGUUGGUGGGGUAAAGGCCUACCAAGGCGACGAUCCGUAACUGGUCUGAGAGGAUGAUCAGUCACAUUGGAACUUAGCCAGGGACCAGACUCCUAAGGGAGGCAGCAGUGGGGAACAGUGGACAAUGGGCGAAAGCCUGAUCCAGCCAUGCCGAGUGUGUGAAGAAGGUCUUCGGAUUGUAAAGCACGUUAAGGUGGGAUGAAGGGCAGUAAGUUAAUACCUUGCUGUUUUGACGUUACCAACAGAAUAAGCACCGGCUAACUUCGUG